GUGCACCAGAUACUAACCAGACUGUCUUCAGCCCAGUUCUUCUUCUGAACUGGUGUCUGUGUCUCCAGUGGCUGUCGGGUCAAUAAAGGUGCAAGAGAAAUAUAAGCCCUUGAGAUUUAAGCUCUGAGUGUGCAGAUUAUCUCUCAUGUGUUAUUACUCAAGGUCACAGCA